rnacentral:rRNA from 1 species
AAUGAACGUUGGCGGCGUGGAUUAGGCAUGCAAGUCGAGCGAGAACCCCGCAAGGGGGGACAGCGGCGAAAGGGACAGUAAUGUGUAGAUUAUCUGCCCUCAGGUCCGGGAUAGCUGCGGGAAACUGCAGGUAAUACCGGAUAACAUCUCCGGAUCAAAGGUGUGAUUCCGCCUGAGGAUGAGUCUGCAUCCUAUUAGCUAGUUGGUGGGGUAAUGGCCUACCAAGGCAUUGAUGGGUAGCAGGUGUGAGAGCACGACCUGCGUCAUUGGGACUGAGACACUGCCCAGACACCUACGGGUGGCUGCAGUCGAGAAUCUUCGGCAAUGGGCGCAAGCCUGACCGAGCGACGCCGCGUGUGGGAUGAAGGCCUUCGGGUUGUAAACCACUGUCAGGGGGGAUGAAAUGCAGGUGGGUUCUCCCAUCUGUUUGACAUAGCCUCAGAGGAAGGACGGGCUAAGUUCGUG